AGUGAACGCUGGCGGCGUGCCUAAUACAUGCAAGUCGAACGGAGUGGCGCACGGGUGAGUAAUGUAUACUAAUCUGCCCUACACUAGAGGACAACAGUUGGAAACGGCUGCUAAUACUCUAUAGUGUAGGAUGAGGCUAUAUUGUAUCAGCUAGUUGGUGAGGUAAUGGCUCACCAAGGCUAUGACGCAUAACUGGUCUGAGAGGAUGAUCAGUCACACUGGAACUGAAACAGGGUCCAGAAUCCUACGUGAGGCAGCAGUAGGGAGUAUUGGACAAGGGACGAAGGCCUGAUCCAACCAUGCCGCGUGUGGGAAGAAGUUCUUCGGAUUGUAAAGCACUUUAAGUUGGAAGGCGUUACCAAAAGAAUAAGCACCGGCUAACGUCGUGCCAGCAGCCGCGGUAAUAC
rnacentral:rRNA from 1 species